rnacentral:misc_RNA from 1 species
GAUGAAGAUAUUUCGAUUGAUGGGCUUAAGGUGUUUACUGAAGAACAAUUAUUGAAUAUGGCUUUGGAGGAAUCAUUGCAGAGUGAUGAGAAUGCUAAUAACCAGCCGGAGCUUCCAGAAGAAAAUUUGAAUGCUGGGGUGGUGAGAGAAACUGAGGAGGAAGUUAACGGGCACAAUUUGGAGGCUGCUCCUGCAUCAAAUGCAAAUAGAAGCACGAAUAAAAUGACUACAAGGAAGCGAAAAAAGGAGGAAACUUCCAAUAUUGAGGAAAAUUCUACUGCGAAGGUGGCUGAAAUUGUAAAAAUCAAACAAAAGCAGGAUGCAGACAGAGCUGUUGUUAAAUUACAUGCUUUCAAGUGGAAGAAGGAAAUUGCUAGUUCAUCGUCAGAAAGCAAAGAGAGGUUGAAGUCCUUGAGGUCUACAAAUUCUUCUGCAAAGGUUCCUCAUGUGAAAUCACUGAGCAGUGGAAAACACGAAACUCUGCAGCAUCCAACGACUGUACUUUUUGUAGAGGUUUACCAUAAAUCUCGCAAGAUGGUGAAGACUCAAGAGUUUUUGGCCCUUGCACGGCAAACAUUAGCAGAACUGAAGGACAAGAUUUAUUGCUCGACAGACAUGUUAAUGGAAAAGGCUGCACAGCAAGAUUCGUCUGGAUAUUUCCUCAUAGAAGAUGUUUUCUGCAAUGAUUUGAGGAAUCCAUCCGCAAUAGAUUAUAGCAAACCCAUAUUUGAUUGGCUUAGAAACUCUGAGGAUGAAGCACGUAAGAAAUGGGAGUGCAUAAUAACUGGUGAAUCGCAGCAGAAAAAUUCAGUUGUUGGCG